rnacentral:lncRNA from 10 species
UUCUUCCUGCUAGCUACAGAGGUGGUGCAGGUGCGGUCCCACACGUGUUUUUCCUCUCCCCAGGCCCUCUCUCUAUCUGCCUAACCAGCGUCCGACUGCCUCCUCUAUCAAAGGUUCCUCUUCCUUUCAAAUAUCAGACAGCAAACAAAGAAUGUUGGGGCCACACAAGCAGAGAACACCAUGUCUUCAGAUCUCUUCACAGCCUUGUCCUCCAGAGUUUAGAAGUGGAGGGAAAAGAUUAAAGAACGAAGGCCGUGAGUGUGAGUUGUCCAGGUCCUUGGCAACAAAGAAUUGAACAAAAUGCACAAAGUAACAAAGGAACAAAACAGAGGGAGGAAGCAUCAAAAGCGGAAAUUUAUUAAGGUAAGAAAUAGGGUGGGUAUGGGCUUGAGCAAGUGGCUCAAGGACCCAGUUACGAAGUUUUCUGGGUUUUUAGUACUCCUUUUGAGGUCCCUAUCAGCUACCACUGAUAUGGAUUAAGGAUUUGGUCUGUGGCUAAUUAAAGGCUUAGGAGAAUUGGCACGCUAUGCGGAUGAAGGAAUGCAGGUGCUUGGCCUGCAGCCACUCCAAGGCACUUUCCCUUUCUACCUGAGAAGUGGUAGAAAGGGGAGGGUUGUAGGGACAGUAGCCUUUGAUCCUUUGCUAUUCAGGUGUGGGGAGAUGGGACUUUUUCUUUUGGUUUAGCUGUUGGAAGUUUGCCUUAAUUGGCCUUAGGUUUCCUGCCUCCAGACCUUGGUGUUUUUUCUUUUAGGAAGUCAGCACAAAUUGGCCUUAAGUUCUCUGCCUCCAUACCCCAUUCUCCUGCCUCCCUUCUGUACAAACCAUUUGUUAUACAUAGUUCAUCUUAAACUCACCUGGUAAUUGGGGAGGCCUUCUGUGUAUGCUGGUUGGUUAUAUGCAAAGAAAAAAUAAACUUCCAACAUCAUGAUAGGAGGCAGUUUUGCAACUUAGAGCCAGGUGCCUGU